ACGUGGCCUGGCUGCUGAUCUGAAAUUUUUCUUUCCCUCAAGCGGAGAGAAAAGCCUUGAUUUCUGGUGUGAUUGGAGCCAUUUGGCUCACGUCCGGCUACUGGCACCAGACCAUGAGAAUCCACAGGGAAUGCUGUGGCCUGACUAUAUUGAUUAAUUCAUUAACCCCAAUCAUAGCAGAUAUUGAGCAAGUCAGUCUUUCUCAAGCUGUGGGCUGCCACAUAUGUGUCUCAUCAGAAGAAAAACACCAUUUCAACAGGUUCUGAGAGACAAGACUUCAACAACAGAGAGCCAGGAAGAAUUGCAGAGUUCAAGCCAACCAAGGUAAAUUAACUAUCUCAUAGAAAGUUCCUGCUCAGUCAAUCCUAAAGGAAAUCAACCCUGAAUAUUCAUUGGA